GGAACCAUAGCUCAACUGGAAGAGCGUCCGCCUUGCAAGCGGAAGGUUAGGGUUCGACUCUCUGUGGCUCCA
rnacentral:tRNA from 1 species